UACGUAGGGCGCAAGCGUUGUCCGGAAUUAUUGGGCGUAAAGAGCUCGUAGGCGGUUUGUCGCGUCUGCCGUGAAAGUCCGGGGCUCAACUCCGGAUCUGCGGUGGGUACGGGCAGACUAGAGUGAUGUAGGGGAGACUGGAAUUCCUGGUGUAGCGGUGAAAUGCGCAGAUAUCAGGAGGAACACCGGUGGCGAAGGCGGGUCUCUGGGCCGAUAUUGACGCUGAGGAGCGAAAGCGUGGGGAGCGAACAGG
rnacentral:rRNA from 1 species